GGGCUCGCGGCCUAUCAGCUUGUUGGUGAGGUAAUGGCUCACCAAGGCGUCGACGGGUAGCCGGCCUGAGAGGGUGACCGGCCACACUGGGACUGAGACACGGCCCAGACUCCUACGGGAGGCAGCAGUGGGGAAUAUUGCACAAUGGGCGCAAGCCUGAUGCAGCAACGCCGCGUGAGGGACGACGGCCUUCGGGUUGUAAACCUCUUUUAGCAGGGAAGAAGCGAAAGUGACGGUACCUGCAGAAAAAGCGCCGGCUAACUACGUGCCAGCAGCCGCGGUAAUACGUAGGGCGCAAGCGUUAUCCGGAAUUAUUGGGCGUAAAGAGCUCGUAGGCGGUUUGUCGCGUCUGCUGUGAAAUCCGGAGGCUCAACCUCCGGCCUGCAGUGGGUACGGGCAGACUAGAGUGCGGUAGGGGAGAUUGGAAUUCCUGGUGUAGCGGUGGAAUGCGCAGAUAUCAGGAGGAACACCGAUGGCGAAGGCAGAUCUCUGGGCCGUAACUGACGCUGAGGAGCGAAAGGGUGGGGAGCAAACAGGCUUAGAUACCCUGGUAGUCCACCCCGUAAACGUUGGGAACUAGUUGUGGGGUCCAUUC
rnacentral:rRNA from 1 species